ensembl:lncRNA
CAAGGAUUGAGAGCUGAAGCUUCUGUAAGCUGAAUGGAAGAAAAUCCUUUCUCUGAAAAUGAUCUAGCAUGCAUUUUGGUCAUAGCAUCCUAAAAGCAAUACACAAGGAUUUUUAAAUCCAUGGCUAAAGCAGGAGGGACAGAACAAAUGAAGUGAUAUGAAGAAUCUUCUAUUGCUUUAUUGAAGAAAUCACUUUCUAAUUUGGGUCCAUCUCCAUCAUUACACAAACAUUAAAAAGGCCACUUGAGUCUGCAAAUCCGGCAGCGGCGGGGCUACGGUCAAGGACGACUCGCGGCGUCUAAGGACGUGUCCCCAGCUUCUCCGACCAGCAGAGUGUGAUGACAGGCUUCGUCCAUGGGCCAAGGAGCCUGAAAAAAGACCCCUGAAGCAAUGAAGGAAAGCACUGAAGAUGUUCAUGACAGUGAACUUCCGUGUGUGAUUCUAUAAUGAAACACACACAUCACCACCACCACUGCCACAGCCGCCGCCACAACAAUAACCACAACUACCACCAUCAUCACCACCCAUCACCAUCACAACUACCACUACCACAACCACCACCACUACAACAACCACAACAACCAGCACAACAACCACCAUCAUCACCACCCACCACCAUCACCACAACCACUGCCACUACCACAACAACCGCCACUACAACAACAACCACAGCCAUCAUUAUCACCCCCAACAUCGCCACCUACAACACCACAAUCACCACCACCACCUCUUCAACCACCACCAUUGUGUUUGUCCGUCAGAUAGAAUGUUUGUCAAGGAUAAAACCUAAUGUGAACUGUAGACACAGAGUGAUUAUGUCAAUGGAGAUUCAUGUAUGCUAACCCGGUGAAAAUUAUUGACAAUGGCAGAGGCUAAGAAAGAGGGGGAGCAGAAC